AGACUACGCACACCACAUCCGCUUCCUCAGAACGGAGUUGAGAGGACGCGCAUGCGCGCCGGCCCGCCAGUCAGUCAGUCAGUCAGGCGCAGGGCCCGCCCUCCUCGUGUUGCCAUGGGGACGCCAAUCCCAGCUUUGAAGGCCGGAAAGGUUGAAUCUCCUUCCCUGCAAUUUGAACCCAGAGCACAAAUCUGCUCCCUCUUCCUCGCGACAGCCUUUCUAAUAUUUGAGCGUGGCUCCUCUCGGCCUUCUUCUCUUCUGCGGCUCAACAGGCCCCGCUCUUUAAGCUGCUCCUCAGAGGGAUUCAUGGUCUCUGGACCUUUGAUCCCUUUAGCUGUCCUCCUCUGGACGCGUUCCAGCUUAGAGUCAAUAUCCUCCUGGAAUUGCUGGACACAGGAACCGGACACAGGGUUAUUCCAGGUAAAGGUUAUUUGAAUGCGAUUUCCUGCUUCUUGGCAGAAUGGGGUUGGACUGGAUGGCACAUGAGGUCUCUUCCAACUCUACUAUUCUAUGAUUCUAUGAAAGAGGUCUGCCCAAAGUGGAAUGGAGCAGCACCAGGUCUUCCCUCGAUCUGGACACCAGACUCCUUUGGAUGCAGCCCAAAAUCCAAUUGGCUUUUAAAGCUGCUGCACCACAUCCUUGGCUCAUGUUCAGUUGUUUUGUCCACUACGACUACACGGUCUCCACCCCAUGGAACUCUGUUUUCAAGACUCCGAGAUCUCGUUCACAAAUGGACUGUUGUUGAGCCAGGCAUCACAUGUCCUGCAUCUGCAUUUCAUUUCUUCUGCCUAAGCCUAGUGUAACGAAGUGUGUGAUUUUAUUUUGAUUAAUGGAUAAUAUGUUUAUUUGAUUUUGUUUAAACAGUCAGGUUUGGUUAAGUUUAAAAUGGUGAGUAUUAGAGCUGAUAAUACCAGGAGGUAACCAGCUCAGCAUUAAAAGACAGGUUACCAUGACAACGGGGGCGGAGCCAACCGCCGUUUGGAGAAGAGAAGAGGGAAUGUUUGAAAACCCAGCUUAGUCUGUGAUUUCCAGUCACAGGGAAAGGACUGAUUCGCAAGUGGAGGAUCAGGGUGGCUCAAAUGAGGGAAUUUGAGUCAAUUCUAAAAUAAGGUGACUUAUUUUAGGGAGUCUGUGAUUUUUAGUCACAGGAGAAAAACUGGUUCCAGGAUUGAGGGAAACCAGGAAAGCAGACCUAGUAGAGCCAGACUAAGCAAGUUGGGUUACUUGUUUAGGGCUAGUUGUGGAGGCUGUGGAGAAGGGAAAUUAAUCCCAGUGGACCUAAGAGAUCAGUGUUUAGUUUAGUCCUGAGAGAAGGAAAUAUUUUGAAAGUUGUAACACCUCAAAUCCAAUUGUAACUGUUAAUCUAAGUGCCUUUAAAAAGUUAUAGAAACCAUUAAGCUCUGUACAUGCAAUAAACUUGUUUUGAUUUUUAUUCCA